GACAGUGCUUCGAAAAAAUUUCAUAUACGAUAGCGUAAAAUGCCAGUACGUUAAAAUCAACAGCGUUACUCACAUGAUGAAAAUCACUACCUAAUAAAUCAAACAUCUCGAAGCAGCACAGGAAGCUUACCAUGGAAUCGAUCAUAGGUUUCAUUAUUUGUGAGUCGAAGCAAUCAUUCUCAAUGAAAAUGUCACUCCAUUCUACGGCUAAUAGCUCUUGCAUGACAGCAGUGUGAUCACACCGCUGCAAGUCCAGUCGCGUGCGUGUUGGCUGAUCGAUUGUUGAGUCCUCGUCGUAAAUGAGCUUGUUGUAGUUAACGGUGAGCAUCAUCGCAUUGUGGUGCGUUUCAUUUUGAACUAAAGGUUCACACAGCUCAGUUUGAACGCACUCCUCGUCGUUAGUGAAAAUAAGAUCGAGAAAGCGAUUGUUUUGAUUCGGUAUUCCACACACUUGCAGCAAACCACUGGAAGACAUUUCGUCAACAGUGAUGGAUUCCUCCGGUGUGCGAACUUGUAGAGGACUCGCUACUUCAACCAUGCUGCGAACGCUCUCGGUAUACGAUCUAUACCGUGCCAGGCUUGCGUCGGGAGAUUGAUUCUUUGACGAUGGAGCUAGCGAGCGAGGCUUUCACGGCAAUAAGAACACCGCCGCCAGAGGAUUUAUCGGCAUUGGACAAUGUACGAUCGCAACGAAAACAUAAAUAUCAUAGUCAUGUUCGAGGGACGACAAGAACACUGACUGCAAUCGAUUAGCACCGCGGAUGCUGUUCAUGUUUUGGAAAAGAAACGGACGUAGAGGAGGUGGGAGAAUUUGAGAACGUUGGCGGAGAAACGAUGACGGGUGCGUGCAAAUUGAGACUAGGGCUCGAAACGAAAGACCUCAGGGCGUGUGGAACGAGCAAAUUCGAACUCUCGGAAAUAUAUAC